UGAGAGGAAUAUUAUCACUUAAGUGAUAAAGAUAUAUUAAUCUUCUAAUGUAUUUUUGAGACUAAAAGAGAAGGAGAAGAGAAUUAUCAAGGUCUUGAAGAAGAAUCAAUGUAUGAACACAUUCUAUUUUUGAGACAGAAUCGAAGGUCAAUAGUUUUCUAAUCAAAGGAGACUUUUUAGAUGGAAUUAAAAUAUGAAAUUGGUGUCCAGAGAAAGAUCUUUGAGUCUAUUUUCAUUUCC
rnacentral:lncRNA from 1 species